rnacentral:lncRNA from 1 species
GUUCUACAUCCAACAUUCUUCUUUAGUAGAUCAACAAUCUUCUUACAAUCGGACUCGACCAUCAAUGGACCAAUCCUCAAAUCAAGCGCCUUUUGCAAUCCAAAUUGAAUCGCUUUACCUUCUGCAAUGGUUGCGUCUCAGCAAACGUUCUCAAUUCUUAUGGCAUCAACCACAACUAACCCGUUCCAGUCUCACACAAUACAUCCGAGACCAGUACCUCUGCUGGG